GGAGGUAUUUCUAUUAUUCAAAAUGCAUAAAGUGGGACCGAUUUUUGCAAAAAAGUGUUCAUUUUAAGCAACUUUAAGCAUCUGAUGUACAUCAAAUUUGGAUCUCUCUACCUAGAAAUAUAUUGGAUGCUGCAAUAACUCAUGAACACCUCAUAUUGCUUUCCAAGUAAAUAAUGCCUCUAGGUGUCAACUCUAAAUAAUGAGUAGAGUGGUUUUU
rnacentral:misc_RNA from 1 species